rnacentral:tRNA from 1 species
UGUUCUGUGGCUUAGUGGGUUGAAGCGCUGGACUAGCGAUACGGAAUCGUGGGUUCAAAUCCCACCAUAACAA